ACUCCCUUAGUAUACUAAGGACCUGGAGGCAAUCUUGCCAGACUUCCUCUGCAGGCAUCUUUAAUUUUCUUGUAUCAUAAAUUUUUAUCUUACAUUCUAUACAAGGGGGAAUCACUGAGCUGAUGAGUGAGCCUAACCAUUUGCCCGACACCAUUGCAGAAACUGGUUAUUUUACCAAGGCUUUGACUGGAAUAGUGUGCUUCCCUUUAAGGAAUCAAACUUGACUUUUGGAGCUAAUAAAAGCCCCUUGGGAAAACUGCUCUCUUACCUUGUCUACACAGUCUCUGGACAGAGUUCCUGACCUGUGUAUCCAGAAUGAGUGAUCCUUGAAAAUCUCAAAUUGGAUCAUGUCCUUCAGCUACUUAAAACCUGUCAAUGAUGACCAGUUGUACUUCAAGUAAAAUCCAAAUCCUCUCAAGGUACCAAGGGGAGAAGGAAGAAACAAUACAAGAAUUGGCCCCAGGAAAUAUUUAUUCUAAAUCCGGCACAUGCAAAACCCCGAGAUAGCCAUCAAGGACAAAAAUCGUCACUGGGAGGUGGGAAGCCCUGAAGGAAAAGCACUAGUCUUGGUGUCAGAAGACCUAUGCUUGUGUUUUCACGCUGACAGGACAUGUGUAUCUCAACAAGUAUCUUCAUCUUCUGAACCUAUUUCCUCAUCUAUAAAAGGUCACUAACACCCAUUUUGAAAAACCACAUGUAGGUUAGGAGGAUUCAAUGUAUGUGAAAGAGUUCUUCAAACUCCUAAGCACUUGCUGUGCUGAUGGUAAAGGUGAUAAUGAGGAGGAAGGAGUGUCUGCUAUGGGAAAACCACUGUCCUAAAACUUUUAAAUACAUUGUUAAUUAAUCUGCACCAAUAAGUCUACGAAUUAGAUUCUAUCAUAAUCUCAAUUUUACAGAUGAGGUUCAGAGAGAUGACAAAUUUUCCCCAAUAUCACACAGUCAUUUUAAUGGUGGAACAGAAAUUUUAACCCAAAUCUAUCUGGCUCCAUAGUUAACACUCUUAACUACCAUAUUAUAUGGCCCCAAUCUAACUCCCUUAUCUUUGGGAAAUACUUUUAUUUAUAGGUCAAUGACACAGAGUUACAGAUCCUGGGUACAGCCUGGGUCUGUAACUUACUCAAUGUAUAAUGCUGGGUAAGUCUUAACCUCUCUGUGCCUCAUCUGUUAAAUGAAAGAGUUGAACUCUAGGAUCUCUCAAGUUCAUUCCCUUUGAGUUCAUCUAACAUUAUACGGUCUUCGUUCUUGUUGGUACAAUAGUUUAUUAGGUAAUUGUUUAUUAGAUAAUUAACAGUCCAUGUCACCUUGGCUAUCUGCCAAAUGAAUAGAAGCACACUACAGAUAUUAGAGAGGGAGGGUUGAAGGGAAAAGAUUUCCAAGGGCUUUGGCAGGUGGAGAAGGCUUUUUGGAGAGGAUAGGCCUGAACCGUUUCACCAUUAAAAGCACUUUUAUUAUUUUUCUCCAUAGUCACUAUAUUUACAAAGAUUUUAUGUUUACUUAACAUUGUGUCAUGGUCUGGCAAAAGAGAGCAUCUGCAGCCCCUCCAGGAAAGAAGAGAAAUCCUGUAAUCCCUAGAGAGAGUCAGGCAGGAGGACAAAAUUAGUGGCUGCAUGCUUACUGCAGACCAGCACGGUAUGAGAACAGUAUUUUGUCAUCAGCUGUGAGUCAGCUAAAAGUUGAAGCCAAAUGUUCAAGCAUUGUUAGGAGUUGAGUCUUUUCUUUGAUGAAGCAUAUGGGAGCCUCAUUCAUCCACACUUUCCUUGCCUCCACAUCCUUGCCAUUAUGGGAAUGGCAUAUAAGCCAGUGAUGCUCAACCAGAAGUGACUUUGUCCCUUAUGAACUAUAGGCGAUAUCCGAAGACAGACUAAAUGCCAUGACUUGGCUGGGGAGGAAGUGGGAGCUUGUUCCUGAUAUCUAGUGGAUAGAGGCCAACAAUACUUAGGGCAGGCUCCCCACCCUCCAUCCCCAGCAACAGAGAAGUAUCUGGUCCAAAAUUUCAAUAGUGCUGAGGCUGAAAAACUCUGAUACAAGGGAACAGCAGUUACAACAAAGAAAAAGAAAGCCAACUCACCAAGAGCAGCUGUAAAUAGAAACAUCUUAUUUUUACUUUCUCCUCUCCUCCCCAGCAUUAAAAGGAAUAGAAAGGAAAGCACUUGGAAUCCCCAGGACAGCUUGUGGAAGGUUUUGGGGUAGUGUGGGUGGAGCUUUAAACUGAAUAUGAGAUUGAUUUUUAAAAUAACUUCUUAUUUUGAAACAGUUUAAGACUCACAAGAGUUGCAAAAAUUAUAGUAUAAAGUCCCCAUAUACUCUUUAGCUAACUUCUUCCAAUAAUAAUGUUAUAUAACCAUAGUAAAUGGCCAAAACCAGAAAAGUGACUGUGAUGCAAUAAUACUGUUAACUCAGGUGCAGAUAUUAUUUGGAUUUCACCAGGAUAUACGUGCACUCUUUUUGUCUAUUUGUUUUGGUAUAUAGUUCUGUGACAUUUUAUCACAUGGCUAGACUCAAGUACCCAUCACCAUAAUCAAGAUACAGAACUGCUCCAAAUCCACAAAGAAACUCUCUCAUGUGUUACCCCUUAAUAGGCGCACGCUUCCUUCAACCCCAGUCUCUAAUAAACACUGAUCUGUUCUUUAUUACUGUAAUUUAGUCAUUCCAAUAAUUGUAUAUAAAUAUAAUUUUACAGUAUAUUGCCCUUUGAGGUUUUGUUUACUGUUUUAUUUUUCAUUCAGCAUAAUGCACUUGAGUCAUCUAAGUUGUUGUAUGUAUCAAUAGUUUAUUCCUUAUUACUGAUGAAUAGGAGCCCAUUGUAUGGAUGUACCAAAGUUUAUUUAACAAUUUACUUGUUGAAGGAUAUCUGGAUUAUUUCCAUUUCUUGGCUGUUAUAAAUAAAGCUGCUAUGAGCUUUUGUGUUCAUCUUUUUGUGUGAACAUAAGUUUUCAUUUCUUUAGGAGAAAUGCCCAGGAAUGUGAUUGCUGGAUCAUUCAUAUGGAUGUCUUCAGGGCCAUGCAUCCAGAGCUUGACAUUGUGCAGUUGUACCUGAAGCCACUGCUCAUUGGAGAACUUGCCCCAGGAGAGCCCAGCCAGGAAAGACACAAAAAUCUUACAUUUGCCUGACUCUUGAAAUAAUUUUUAUAACGUGUGGAUCCAUAGACCCCUGUGAAGCAGAGGGAGCAAGGAUUUUAUUCUCUCUUAAAAAAAUGAAGAAACAGACUCACAAAGGGAGCAGGACUAAUCUGAGGACACAGAACUGGUUAUGGGCAAAUCUGAGACUAAUAGGCUCAGAGCUCAUUUUUGCAGCAUGACGCGGGGCACCUUUCCAUAUUUAGGAAGUCCAAGUGGAACCACGUGGUGCAUAAAUUUGUGAUGUGCCAUCUCAAGGGCCUGUCAGCAGACCGGUGGAAUUACUGGCACUUUGAACAACACGUAAAGCCGAACAUCUACCCCAAAGACCCAGAUAUUGACACGGACCCACUUUUUCUCCUUGGAGAUUCACAACCUGUCAAGUUUGGCUCCCACUCUUCAUGCCAGUAUAUCUCAAACUGCCAUCCAUGCAAGCGAUGUACCUCCAAAGAUAUUGGGUGGUUUCUUGAAAGUCCUUGGAUUGUAUAUGUUACCCAGAUGAGCCACAUAACAAUGAGAAUGAGCACAGAGGAGAACCGGGACU
rnacentral:tRNA from 10 species